rnacentral:lncRNA from 1 species
CAUUUUUACAUCUUGCUCAAAAUUCAGAGUUCCCGGCCUCAUUUUCAGUGUUAAGGCCCCAUUUUCAGAGCUCUGACCCCCAUUUUCAGCACUUAUGACCCAUUUUCAGCGCUCUGACCCACAUCUUCAGAGCUCAGAGCCCCAAUUUCAGGGUUUGUGGAGCUCAGAGCCCCGUUUUCAGCACUCUGAGCCCCAUUUUCAGAGAUUAUUUCCCCAUUUUCAGAGCUCAGAGCCCCAUUUUCAGAGAUUAUUUCCCCAUUUUCAGAGUUCCUGGCCCCAUUUUCAGAGCUCUGACCCCCAUUUUCAGCCCUUACGCCCCAUUUUCAGAGCACUGACCCCCAUUUUCAGCACUCAGAGCCCCAUUUUCAAAUCUCUGACCCCCAUUUUCAGAGCUCAGAGCCCCAAUUCCAGGCUCUGUGGCCGCCCCUUAAGUUGCGCUGCAUGGGGUUGAAACAAAUGGGGAGGGGGGU